UGUCAUUCUUCAGUGGGUGACCUUCCUUCUGAGGGACAUUGCCCUGAAACAUUCCUGGCAUCCCCUAACAUCUUGGAGAACUUGACAACUUUAGAAGUAGUUACUUGGAGUGCCAGUCAUAAUUUAUUUGGCUGGAAAUUCUGAUGUCAGACAAGAUUAGGUACAAGAGGGAAAAAAUUAUCUGCCUUUACAGUUUGCAUUUUGGUGAAUUAGCUAAAGAGCAAGAAUGUCGACAAAUGAUGUGACUUACCUAUCUUUAUACCUAUGUCAUAUUAGAGAAAAUGUAGACUACUAAUGUGUGAUUUAUAUAAAUAAAUUUUUAGGAAUAUUUUACCUUGAAUUGUCCUUGAUUUCAGUUUGUUCACAGUGCACAACAU
rnacentral:lncRNA from 1 species